rnacentral:rRNA from 1 species
AUCCCUGGCUCAGAUUGAACGCUGGCGGCAUGCCUUACACAUGCAAGUCGAACGGCAGCACGGGAGCAAUCCUGGUGGCGAGUGGCGAACGGGUGAGUAAUACAUCGGAACGUGCCCAAUCGUGGGGGAUAACGCAGCGAAAGCUGUGCUAAUACCGCAUAAGAUCUACGGAUGAAAGCAGGGGAUCGCAAGACCUUGCGCGAAUGGAGCGGCCGAUGGCAGAUUAGGUAGUUGGUGAGGUAAAGGCUCACCAAGCCUUCGAUCUGUAGCUGGUCUGAGAGGACGACCAGCCACACUGGGACUGAGACACGGCCCAGACUCCUACGGGAGGCAGCAGUGGGGAAUUUUGGACAAUGGGCGCAAGCCUGAUCCAGCCAUGCCGCGUGCAGGAUGAAGGCCUUCGGGUUGUAAACUGCUUUUGUACGGAACGAAACGGUCCCUUCUAAUACAGGGGGCUAAUGACGGUACCGUAAGAAUAAGCACCGGCUAACUAC